GACAGAGGCCUCAAGCGUUAGGCGGAAUCACUGGGCUUAAAGCGUGUGUAGGCGGAUCGUUAAGUGCCUUGUGAAAUCCCACGGCUUAACUGUGGAACGGCUGGGCAUACUGGCGGUCUUGAGCCAUCUAGGGGCGACUGGAACAAACGGUGGAGCGGUGAAAUGCGUAGAUAUGCGGAGGAACACCGAUGGCGAAGGCAAUCCCCUGGGCCUGCACUGACGCUCAUGCACGAAAGCGUGGGGAGCAAACAGG
rnacentral:rRNA from 1 species